rnacentral:rRNA from 1 species
UACGUAGGGGGCAAGCGUUGUCCGGAUUUAUUGGGCGUAAAGAGCGUGUAGGCGGCCUGAAAGGUCAGCUGUGAAAACUCGAGGCUCAACCUCGAGACGUCGGUUGAAACCAUCUGGCUAGAGUCCGGAAGAGGAGUGUGGAAUUCCCGGUGUAGCGGUGAAAUGCGCAGAUAUCAGGAGGAACACCGGUGGCGAAGGCGGGACUCUGGGCCGAUACUGACGCUGAGGAGCGAAAGCGUGGGGAGCAAACAGG